rnacentral:RNase_P_RNA from 1 species
AGAGUCGCCCGGAUCACCGCGUUGUACUUGUACACCGAGGAAAGUCCGGACUCCACAGAGCAAGGUGGUGGGUAACGCCCACCCGGAGAAAUCCGCGGGAUGAGUGCCACAGAAAAUAGACCGCACAUUAGAAAUAAUGUGUAAGGGUGAAACGGUGGUGUAAGAGACCACCAGCAUUUACGGCAACGUAUAUGGCUAGGUAAACCCCACUUGGAGCAAGACCAGACAGAUAGCGUUUGAGAACUGCUCGUUCGAGCUAUCGGGUAGGUCGCUUGAUUACG